CAUGUAGGCGGUCUGUCAAGUCUGAUGUGAAGGCCCGGGGCUCAACCCCGGAAGUGCAUUGGAAACUGGCAGACUUGAGUACGGGAGAGGAAAGUGGAAUUUCGAGUGUAGGGGUGAAAUCCGUAGAUAUUCGAAGGAACACCAGUGGCGAAGGCGGCUUUCUGGACCGAUACUGACGCUGAGAUGCGAAAGCGUGGGGAGCAAACAGGAUUAGAUACCCUGGUAGUCC
rnacentral:rRNA from 1 species